rnacentral:rRNA from 1 species
GAUGAACGCUGGCGGCGUGCUUAACACAUGCAAGUCGAACGAUGAAGCCCAGCUUGCUGGGUGGAUUAGUGGCGAACGGGUGAGUAACACGUGAGUAACCUGCCCUUAACUCUGGGAUAAGCCUGGGAAACUGGGUCUAAUACCGGAUAGGAGCGUCCACCGCAUGGUGGGUGUUGGAAAGAUUUAUCGGUUUUGGAUGGACUCGCGGCCUAUCAGCUUGUUGGUGAGGUAAUGGCUCACCAAGGCGACGACGGGUAGCCGGCCUGAGAGGGUGACCGGCCACACGGGGACUGAGACAGGGCCCAGACCCCUAGGGGGGGAAGGGGUGGGGAAUAUUGAAAAAGGGGCGAAAGCCUGAUGCAGGGACGCCGGGUGGGGGAUGACGGCCUUGGGGUUGUAAACCUUUUUCAGUAGGGAAGAAGCGAAAGUGAGGGUACCGGAAGAAGGAGCAGCGGCUAACUAAGU